UUAACCCACGAAGAAUCAAUGCAAGGGGAUCAAGACCGGCCGUUGAGGAUGACGGAGCGACGCGCGCCGCGACUCACCUCACCUCACAGUCCCAGAUCGCAAGGAGGAUCAUGAAGUGCACCGCGGCGGCCAACUCGGUAGGUGGAAACAGAAAUUCUAAUAUUAAGACGUCUCAAAAUAUCGGACGCCUACUUCACCUAGCGCAGCAAUGUCGUAGUGGAAAUUUUCUGCAUGUAAUUUUGUUACUAUAUGAGCUGAUGUUGCAGCGGAUAACCCAUUCCAACCUCAAUGAUGGAUGAUGCGGUGGACUUUCUCAAGUGAUUUUUUAUGUUGCGAUAAACAUAUCACGGUGUUGCGGCAAGAGUUGAUUACUAAUGUUGCGGCGAUCAUUUUAGUCGACUAUUGAUGUUUCAGUAAUUGUUUUAAGGUUGUUCCGUGGGUCGACAUAUGAUGUUGUAGUGGUUAUUUUCAAUAUGUUUGAGAUGUGAGGUGAUGUUGCAAUAAUUAUUUUAGGAUGUUGCAUAAAUUUAUUUUAGAUAUUUCAAUAGUUGAUUUGCCAUGUUGCACAAUUUAAUAUAAUGACUAAUUCUAUUUA